rnacentral:rRNA from 1 species
UGAGGAAUAUUGGUCAAUGGGCAAAAGCCUGAACCAGCCAAGUCGCGUGAGGGAAGACGGUCCUAUGGAUUGUAGACCUCUUUUGUCGGGGAGCAACGACGCCACGUGUGGCGGAAGGGAGAGUACCCGAAGAAAAAGCAUCGGCUAACUCCGUGCCAGCAGCCGCGGUAAUACGGAGGAUGCGAGCGUUAUCCGGAUUUAUUGGGUUUAAAGGGUGUCGUAGGCGGAACGUUAAGUCAGCGGUAAAAUUGCGGGGCUCAACCCUGUACCGCCGUUGAAACUGGCGUUCUAGAGUGGGCGAGAAGUAUGCGGAAUGCGAGGUGUAGCGGUGAAAUGCAUAGAUAUCACGCAGAACUCCGAUUGCGAAGGCAGCAUACCGGCGCCCAACUGACGCUGAGGCACGAAAGCGUGGGGAUCGAACAGGAUUAGAUACC